AACGAACGCUGGCGGCGCGCCUAAUACAUGCAAGUCGAGCGAGAAGACGUAGCAAUACGUUUGUAAAGCGGCGAACGGGUGAGGAAUACAUGGGUAACCUACCCUCGAGUGGGGAAUAACUAGCCGAAAGGUUAGCUAAUACCGCGUACGCUCCUUGGACUUCGGUUCAGGGAGGAAAGCGAUACCGUGGGUAUCGCGCUCUUGGAUGGGCUCAUGUCCUAUCAGCUUGUUGGUGAGGAACGGCUCACCAAGGCUUCGACGGUA
rnacentral:rRNA from 1 species